rnacentral:rRNA from 1 species
GUGCCAGCCGCCGCGGUAAUACCGGCAGCCCGAGUGAUGGCCGAUCUUAUUGGGCCUAAAGCGUCCGUAGCCAGCCGAACAAGUCCGUUGGGAAAUCCACCCGCCUAACGGGUGGGCGUCCGACGGAAACUGCGUGGCUUGGGACCGGAAGGCGCGACGGGUACGUCCGGGGUAGGAGUGAAAUCCCGUAAUCCUGGACGGACCGCCGAUGGCGAAAGCACGUCGCGAGGACGGAUCCGACAGUGAGGGACGAAAGCUAGGGUCUCGAACCGGAUUAGAAACCCCAGUAGUCC